AGAAGAAGAAGAAGAAGAAGAAGACAAGGAAAGAAGGGCUGCUGUUCAUGUAUUUUUGGGGCUGCAACUACGUGUUUUCUCUGCUCCUGCUGUGCUCUCUUGCUGGUGUUAUUAAGAUGCUGCUGUUGCUGUAGAAAAAGAUGCAUGCAAGGCAAGAUGAGAGGUGCAAGGGGCUGUCCACGCUGAAAUCUUGUUGAAAUUUUAUUGCAUAUAUUGAGCUGCGGCUGUACCUGUUCAGAGAGGGAAAUUGAAUCACAGUGCGGGAAUCUAUGCAACUCAGAGAAGUCACUUGUCUGACCUUGACUACCAAGAUGCCCAGGCCACAUCCCUUGUGGCAUACUAUUUUCAGAUGAUGGAAACCGGUGCUGAGGUGGGAUUGGACUUUAGUAGCGGUUGUGACGCUUAUGUCGGCGAGAUGUCAGGAUUUUGAUGAGCUUCACUAUUUUUUAGUUCCUUCUUCUUGAUGUAUAUAUUUAUGGAUGUGUAGUGAGUAGUAUUGUAGCCUUUGGUUGUUUUCAAACACGCAAAUUGUAUAAUGUAAUUUAUCACUUUAGUACAUCAGCAGUGAUAUUUAUGCGACU